rnacentral:rRNA from 1 species
AUACGUAGGUGGCAAGCGUUGUCCGGAAUUAUUGGGCGUAAAGCGCAUGUAGGCGGUUUGGUAAGUCGGUCGUGAAAAUGCGGUGCUUAACGCCGUAUGGCGAUUGAAACUGCUGAACUUGAGUGCAGGAGAGGAAAGGGGAACUCCCAGUGUAGCGGUGAAAUGCGUAGAUAUUGGGAAGAACACCGGUGGCGAAGGCGCCUUUCUGGACUGUGUCUGACGCUCAGAGGCGAAAGCCAGGGUAGCGAACGGGAUUAGAUACCCCGGUAGUCCUGGCCGUAAACGAUGGGUACUAGGUGUGGGAGGUAUCGACCCCUUCCGUGCCGGAGUUAACGCAAUAAGUACCCCGCCUGGGGAGUACGGCCGCAAGGCUUAAACUCAAAUGAAUUGACGGGG